rnacentral:rRNA from 1 species
CCCUUAGAUGUCCUGGGCUGCACGCGCGCUACACUGGAAGUUACGGAUUGAGAUACUACCUUGCCCGAAAUGGUCCGGGUAAUCACCUAAAAGCUUGUCAUAAUUGGAAUGGAUUAUUGUAACUAGUAAUCCUGAACGAGGAAUUCCUAGUAAGUCCCAGUCAACAGCUGGUACUGAUUACGUCCCUGCCCUUUGUACACACCGCCCGUCGCUACUACUGAUUGGACGUUUAAGCAAGAUUUUUAAACACUGACAGUGUGUAGUUCACGCUAUACUACAGUGAGAAGAAGAAGAUCGAGCUUACUUGUCUAGAGGAAGUAAAAGUCGUAACA